UGUUAUGCAUUUCAUUUUAUUUCAUUUCGGAUCUCAGUCUUUAUUUGAGUCCCCGAAGCUUUGAUCCGGAAUGUCGUUGACUCAAGGAGCACCUGGAAAUCAAAACCACAGAUUCAGAAAAGUACCCUGCCAAAGACAAUUCCAGAGCCGAAAACUUUCAAAAAAAUGUGAAUAAUAAAUCCAUAAACAUUCGAAAAAUGCCUUCAUAAAGACGUUGAACUCUUGAACUCCCCUCGCUUCCAGCAGAGUCUAAAUGAAAGGAGGAGGAGGUGUCCAAAGGGGGGCAUUAAACAAACUAACCAAUCUCGGCAUGAGCCGAAACGAUAACAAUUCAAGUUUCCAUCAAACUGGAAUAAAUAAAACUUUUGGAAAUCAAUUUUUGAGAACGAAAAUGUUCUCGAAGCGAACACAUCUUGAGGCGUCUGGUCUGGGAUUUAAAUUACCACGAACUCCAUAAAUCAAUCGAAUUUAUUGACUAAAAUGACAAAAUGGGCGAAAUGAGAUCGGAGCCUGGUGCGAGUGAGAGGCGAGUGGACAAUGCAAACGAAAUUCAAAUUAAAAUGACCAAACACAAACAAACGAAAGGCAUUAAGGAACCAUGAAGAUUAACAUUUUUUUCUUCGGUUUUUUGGGAAGGGAAUGAUGGCGACGGAGGCGGAUGGAGCUGGAGCUGGAGGGU